CACUAAGGACGUCCUGGAGAGAACAGUAGACGUUGAUCCUCGCGUUCUUUUCCUCCCUCGUGGAAGGUCUUGCAUUUGCACUUGUUUCCUGCGACACAAGUUCUCCAUUACCAUCAGAAACGUAGCUAUUUUACUUCAUCGACCGUCCUUCAUUGACAUUCGUAACACUGGAAAGAAAAUAAGAAAAAAUUAAACCAACUCACAAAAAGAGACAGAAUAAGUUGAUUUUGUCCUUCCGAGGCAACCUAACUAUUUAAAUGAGUGUAAUACAAAAGUAUCUCGAAAGUUGUACAUAAUUAUGGGAAAAAUUGUCUAGUGUUUACACGGAAAAAGCAGUAAAUGAAAUUUAUAAUAAUAGCUGAGGUUUCCAAGUGUUGUCAUAAUUCAUGUCUGCGCGGUGCAGGUUCAAGACUCAAGACUUAUCAUUAUAACAGUGACUGCUACAAACAAAUGUUAGAGGUGCUUGUGAAAGAAAAGAUUAAUAGUCAAUUACAGAGGAAGUGGAAUCAAGUCAGCAUAACUCACGGCGACCUGGAGUGUUACCAUUUGUCUGCAGCGGGGAGGUGCUCUUUUGUAAACACUCGGAAAAAUACUAAUAAGAAAAGAGAUAAAAAAAAAAAAAAGAUUAGCAACAUGCAAAGCAAAAAUGAACAAAAAUAGUUAUUCUUGGAAAGCAGAAAUGAUUCCCUAUGACAGUGAAAUAUUGGCUAGUCUAUACCAAAAUUGGUGCCAUACUCGUGCGGUGAAGCAAAUGCGGAUUAUCUUCGUGGCAUAUCACGGAGAGUGGCAUGAGGGAAUGUGAAUCUCCCUCAGGUCCAGUUUCAUACCUCAAUUUUCAAGCAUCAAGAGCCCUGCCCGCGGCCCCUGGAGGCGUGACGUGCACCUUGAGGAAUGGCCAAACCCACUCACGUAUUCAUGGUGUAAUUACAAGUGACAAGAAAGAUUCUUAAGAUAGCCGAAUAAAUCUGCCCAGUAACUGCCGGACACACGUUUGGAGUAGUGCCCAUCACACUCCCGCCCUCCACCACCGUGUUUCAUCUGACUCGAGUCACAGGCAACCCCAGUGUGCUGCUGCUUCUUGUGAGCCUCAUUGCUGGUGCGUGGAUUUCUUGACACGAACAACGAGCUCACCGUUGACGCCGUAAUUUCGGGCCGUUACCAUCACAGGCUCCUUGUGGCCCUUACUUCCUCCUCCUCCUAUCUGGCGUGUAUGUCUUGCUCCCUGGCCAGUGUAGCAGCGGCCGGUAAUGCUCCUCGGUACCGGCAGGAGAGGAUAACAAAAACCAG